rnacentral:lncRNA from 1 species
AAGAAAAAUACUAAAAUGCAGAAUAAGUACAAAUAGUUAAAAACAGUAUGGAAUUUUCGUUAUUUUAUAAUAAUCAUUGUCUAACUCUAUUUGAAUACUCCUGCCAAAAAUCUCAAUCUUAUAUUGCAUUUCUUACAAAGAUAUUUUAAAAAAUGGCAAGAAUGUUAGACUUUUGAGACCAAUUUUAAUGUUCUUGAGAACUUUGCAAAUACAACACAAUUUGUUUCAUAACUAAAAAAGCACUAGUGUCAAGUUACAGUAUAAAGAUUAUAAAACAAUUAUAGCCUGAGAAAAAUUGAUGGCAAUGAAAAAAGAAAAAUAAUAUACUUCAAAUAUGUGUUUUGUUUAUAGUGAUCUUGGAAAUCAUUCCUGUAUAACCUUAUUCAAAAUCAUAAUGUUUAAGAGAUGUAAUCAUCUAGUCUUGUUAUAAAAGUCAUAGAAUAAAACUGCAGUCUCAAUUAAAGCAUUUCUAUCUAUUUUUCAUGUUUUAUAAAGAUUCACAAGCUUUGGUGAAAUGAGGCAUUGUUUUACUUUACAAUUCGUAUUAAAGAUGCAAGAAGAAAUGUCAUAAUUGAGUGUUUUUCCUCCAAUAUAAAUUUUCAUUGGCAAGAUGAUAUUUAAAAGGAGGGUACAUUUUGCCUCUUUCUCAGAUCUGAAGUACCUGUUUUUGGUUUUUGGUACUUCCCAAGUUCUGGAAACAAGUAUGAACAUAUGCAAUUAAAGGUAUGUUAUUUUUUUUCUCAAAGGAAUAUAAGCUACGGUAGUGGUUUGGCAUGAGAUUACUGUCACUUUAUUUAAACUUAAGACAAAAGUGCUAUGAUUGCUGGAAAUUGAAGAAUAUAACAUAGACAUCAAUGGGGACAAGAACUAGUGGUGUUCUUCCUAUAUUUGAUAUGUUUUUCCAUUAAUUUGGAGAACUGUUAAGUUACAGAUAUCUUAUGUUUCAUAGUUUUUACAAUGGUUGUUUCUUUGUUUUAUCGAGUGGCAUUUAAGACUUAUUUGUUACUUUAUCUUACAAAAGCUUAAAGUUUUGUAUUAUUUCUAAAGCAUUUGUUAGCAAAUUAUGAGAUCUCUGUACAUUAAGAAAAGGUUGAUAGUUUGAAUGUAAUAAUUGUAUAUAUGAAAAGUAAAAUUAUGAAACAUGUAAUAUUCUUUAACCAUUACUAUGUGACACAAAAAAUAUGUUUUUUUAAUUUUAAAGAUAGAGAUAGCUCAGCAAUACUAACUUUAAUUUUAUUUAUGAAUUUAUUAUACAUAUAUUAAGAAAAU